UCUCAAUUUUCCCAUAUGUAGAACUAGGUUAAAGAUAUUACCAAUUCCAUGGGCUUGUAUGAAUAUUAAAUUAAUACAAAUAAUGUGCCAUAUAAGGGUUUAUCAUCAUCAUCAUCAUCAUCAUCAUCAUCACCACUUUGGCUCUCUCCCUCUCUGUUAUUGUCUCACAGUUUGUCUUUCUGUAUUUACCUCUUUCUCUGUGUGCCUUAAUUGCCUCUCUUCUUUCCCCACAGUGGCUGCAGGUUUUGUCCUCCGCCAGUGUGGCAGUGAUGGCCAAUGGGGACUUUGGAGAGACCAUACACAAUGUGAGAACCCAGAGAAGAAUGAGGCCUUUCUGGACCAAAGGCUCAUCUUGGAGCGGUUGCAGGUCAUGUACACUGUCGGCUACUCCUUGUCUCUCGCCACACUGCUGCUAGCCCUGCUCAUCUUGAGUUUGUUCAGGUGGGACCUUAACCCUGAGUGGUGGCGGCAGAGAUGUGAGCUCGGCCUCAGUUUGUCCAGUAAGAUGGGGUGGUCUGUUUCCACCAGGUCCAACCAUGCACUGGUGGUUCUAUGGGGAGCAGUGGGGGUGGUUAAAGGACCUCUGUGUGGCCGGGAGCGGUGGCUGAUGCCUGUAAUCCCAGCUGUUUGGGAUGCCAAGGCAGGAGGAUCGCUGGAGCCCAGGAGUUUGAGAUCAGCCUGGCCAAUAUGGUGAAACCCUGUCUCUACU
rnacentral:sRNA from 1 species